rnacentral:rRNA from 1 species
UACAGAGGGGGCAAGCGUUAUUCGGAAUUAUUGGGCGUAAAGGGCGCGUAGGCGGCGAUUCAAGUGACGGGUGAAAUCCCUCGGCUUAACCGAGGAACUGCCUGUCAGACUGGAUUGCUUGAGGCCGGGAGAGGCGAGUGGAAUUCCCAGUGUAGCGGUGAAAUGCGUAGAUAUUGGGAAGAACACCGGUGGCGAAGGCGGCGACCUGGUCCUUGACUGACGCUGAGGCGCGAAAGCGUGGGGAGCAAACAGG